GAACUCUUUUAUUUGCUUUUGUCAUUGCUUUCUCUCUAUCACUGACAAGCCGCUUGAAAUAAUUUCCCUUGUUCCUGGAAAUAGUUGGUGCAAGAAUGGUAACCUCUCCAACCGGCUGUUCACCUACCAUAGCUGCCAUAUAGUCUUUUUUAGUAAAAUCAACAGCAUCUCCAUCAUACUUUUCAAAAUCACUACCUAUCUGCUUAAUGAUUUUGUGAACCUAGUCAAGCUUAUCCAUUUUGUUAGGUCCGAUACGAGGUUAAUUAAGCUAGAAGGGGGGGGGGUUGAAUAGCUUAAUCACCAAUUUAAAAGUUUAUGCGGUGUAAUGAAAAGUUUAUCCCUUUUUUAAAACUUGUAUCGAGAGUAUGAGCAGUAUAUAGGUGCGGAAGCAAAAAGCAAAUAAAGUAAAGUACCACACACAAGGAUUUAUCCUGGUUCGCGGUUGCUAACUCAACCUUUGGAGUCCACUCACCCCUACUCCAGUCCCCGAGCUCCUCCUCAGACUCGAGAUUUUCUCUACUAUAAAGAUACUCCUUUACAGUAGGCGGAGAAGCCUUUACAAAUAUAGAUCUUGGAGCGUAACUUCCCGUUACCUCCUCAUUAUAAAUGUAAACUUAAAAGACUCGUUUUGGAGCGUAACUCCCCGUCACCUCCUCAAAGUCGUUGUACUCCGGGUGUAGUCUUUGAACUUCUAAACUUUUGCGGCUUAAAAGACUCGUUUUGGAGCGUAACUCCCCGUCACCUCCUCAAAGUCGUUGUACUCCGGGUGUAGUCUUUGAACUUCUAAACUUUUGCGGGUCUUGGACAAAGGUCUUGGGUCUUGGGUCUUGAAACGAAGAUCACCUCACUUCACUUUUCCUCACUACAAAAUUCAGAAAACAAUAUCUACGACAAAUAACUUGGGUUUAUAAAAAGGUUUUGGACUAGAAAUGUCUAGGCCGAGUGUAGUAAUAUUCAACAAUGAAUAUUUAUAACUUGUAUACUUUUCGAAAGAUAAAUAUUAAAUCGAAGUAAACGUUAUGUCUUACUCCAAAUAAUAUAAUAUAUGAGUGGAGUAAAAGUAUUCUUUCUUUGAUAAAUAUACGAUCUUAAAGAAUCAAAGAAUACUUGUAUUUAUAAACUCCGUGUAGAUCGAAUAAAUUAUAUUCGGAGUUUUAAGUCUAUUUAGCCUCGAUGGCACAAGACUUAUAUAAUUACUUCUUUAUAUGAAAAUACGUCUAUUUUCGAAGUAAUAUAAUCUAGAAGUCUUUGCUUCUUUUCAGUAUAACUCUUCUCUUUUAUAUAGUCUUUCAAGACUAAAUUAAAUCAAUGAAGUUCGUAGAGAGAGAGUUGAGAUUUUCUUUAACUUUAGCACAAUGCAAGCCAAUAUAAAUUCCGCAAAUCCAACAAUACAAUAUUUAUACACUUAUAAUGAUAACAACUAUAAAGUGCAAAAAGUAUAUAAAUACGUAUAGUAGGCUUAUUCAGUUAUUAAUCGCACGAAGCUCGAAUGGUACUAGCGGGACUUAAACCAAGUAAGAAAAAUAACGAAACAAGUUAAUCGCGGAAAGUUAGAUAAGGCGAGUUAAAGUGCUAAAUAAACGUUAAAGAAAAUAAAUAGCUUUUAGAUCGAUUUCUUCCCAACGGAAAACAAGGUGCUAGUAGGGAAUUAGAUCAAGCUUUAAUAAAAUCGAUUUGACCAUCGUCAAAUAUAAUCCUCUUUUUCGAGGUGUAUAACGAAACUUUAGUUCGUAUACAAAAUAGUACGAAUCGAUGUUCGUUUAUAUAUUUGAGAGAAUAUUAGAUCGUACGAUAUAAAAAUUGUUCUUGUAUAAUAAAUCUCAAAUAUAUCACGAACCUUUAGUUCGUGUUAGUGUAUUUCGAAUACAACGAAUCUUUAGUUCGUAUAUGUAAUUUGUUCGAAAUAAGAAAUCUCUUUUAUUAGAGAUAUGAGAUGAAAAGCUUUUGUAGAGAGUAGAUCGAUGAUAAUAACGAGCUCUUGUAUAAAUAAAAUGGUCAGUUAAGACACGGAUUAAUGAAGCUAAAAAUAUAACCACUUACGAGAACGAUCGGAAAGUUCGCCGGAAAAAUUCGCCGGAGGUUCGGUAGGACUAUAAGCACACGGACGAAUUUGGGCAGCCCUUUGGGAGGCAAGAUAGUAGUGGUUGAUGAGCUAAAGUGGUGAGACAAAGCUUGGUUGGAUGAACAAAAGCUUGUAUAACUAAAACCUUGUGUAUAUAUGUAUAUAUAUAUAAGAAUGGAGGUUUUAGAGAAGAA
rnacentral:lncRNA from 1 species